rnacentral:rRNA from 1 species
UACGUAGGGUGCAAGCGUUAAUCGGAAUUACUGGGCGUAAAGCGUGCGCAGGCGGUUUUGUAAGUCAGAUGUGAAAUCCCCCGGGCUUAACCUGGGAACUGCGUUUGAAACUACAAGGCUAGGAGUGUGCAGAGGGGGGUGGAAUUCCACGUGUAGCAGUGAAAUGCGUAGAGAUGUGGAGGAACACCGAUGGCGAAGGCAGCCCCCUGGGUUAACACUGACGCUCAGGCACGAAAGCGUGGGGAGCAAACAGG